rnacentral:rRNA from 1 species
AUAUCAAUAAGCGGAGGAAAAGAAACCAACAGGGAUUGCCUCAGUAACGGCGAGUGAAGCGGCAACAGCUCAAAUUUGAAAUCUGGCCCUAGGCCCGAGUUGUAAUUUGCAGAGGAUGCUUCCGGUGCGGCGCCGUCCAAGUCCCCUGGAACGGGGUGCCACAGAGGGUGAGAGCCCCGUCGGGUCGGCCGCCAAGCCUAUGUGAAGCUCCUUCGACGAGUCGAGUAGUUUGGGAAUGCUGCUCUAAAUGGGAGGUAGACCCCUUCUAAAGCUAAAUAUUGGCCAGAGACCGAUAGCGCACAAGUAGAGUGAUCGAAAGAUGAAAAGCACUUUGAAAAGAGGGUUAAACAGUACGUGAAAUUGUUGAAAGGGAAGCGCUUGUGACCAGACGUGCGCCGGGUGUUCAGCGGGCGUUCUCGCCCGUCUACUCGCCCUGGCGCAGGCCAGCGUCGGUUCGGAUGGGUGGACAAAGGUACCAGGAACGUGGCUCCCUCGGGAGUGUUAUAGCCUGGUGCGUCAUGCCCCCGUCCGGACCGAGGUUCGCGCUCUGCAAGGACGCUGGCGUAAUGGUCCCCAGCGGCCCGUCUUGAAACACGGACCAAGGAGUCGAGGUUUUGUGCGAGUGUCUGGGUGUCAAACCCGCACGCGUAAUGAAAGUGAACGCAGGUGGGAGCUUCGGCGCACCACCGACCGAUCCUGAAGUUUUCGGAUGGAUUUGAGUAAGAGCAUAGGGCCUCGGACCCGAAAGAUGGUGAACUAUACUUGGAUAGGGUGAAGCCAGAGGAAACUCUGGUGGAGGCUCGCAGCGGUUCUGACGUGCAAAUCGAUCGUCAAAUCUGAGUAUGGGGGCGAAAGACUAAUCGAACCAUCUAGUAGCUGGUUACCGCCGAAGUUUCCCUCAGGAUAGCAGUGUUGGUCUCAGUUUUAUGAGGUAAAGCGAAUGAUUAGGGACUCGGGGGCGCUUUUUUGCCUUCAUCCAUUCUCAAACUUUAAAUAUGUAAGAAGCCCUUGUUGCUUAGUUGAACGUGGGCCUUCGAAUGCAGCAACACUAGUGGGCCA